AGAGCGAACGCUGGCGGCAGGCCUAACACAUGCAAGUCGAGCGCCGUAGCAAUACGGAGCGGCAGACGGGAGAGUAACACGUGGGAACGUACCCUUUGGUUCGGAACAACCCAGGGAAACUUGGGCUAAUACCGAAUAAGCCCUUACGGGGAAAGAUUUAUCGCCGAAGGAUCGGCCCGCGUCUGAUUAGCUAGUUGGUGGGGUAACGCCCACCAAGGCGACGAUCAGUAGCUGGUCUGAGAGGAUGAUCAGCCUCAUUGGGACUGAGACACGGCCCAAACUCCUACGGGAGGCAGCAGUGGGGAAUAUUGGACAAUGGGCGCAAGCCUGAUCCAGCCAUGCCGCGUGGGUGAUGAAGGCCCUAGGGUUGUAAAGCCCUUUCGGCGGGGAAGAUAAUGACGGUACCCGCAGAAGAAGCCCCGGCUAACUUCGUGCCAGCAGCCGC
rnacentral:rRNA from 1 species